AACUAAAAUUAUUUAAAAUUAGCUUUAUGCUUGCCUAAAAUAUUUGAGAAAUUACAGUUUACAACAACCUUUUAACUUCGAAUAAAGCACAAAUCUCAAUAUGGUAUACAAACUAUUUUUUUUGCUGAUGUUGCCGUUUUGUUGGAUUAGUUGUGUUCAAUCAUUCUAUAAUUGCUUUUCAGCACCUAUGGUUCCAAUUCCUGAUGAUGCACCUAGUUUGAGUGGCAUGUGGUAUUAUGUGGGGAGAGGAUCUUUUGAAGAUAACAUCACAUGCCUCAAUGCCUCAGUGUCGCUGAAGAGCACACAAGAUCAACUUGAUUUUGGAAUUUCAUUUUACAAGAAGGAAGACAAAACGUAUAAAAGUAAAUCUGAUUAUAAAUUCAUUGGGUGGAAUAAUAUUACACGCCUUGGAGGUGCGACUCUGGUUUUUAAUCGCUUCACUUUUGAUAUGAGGGUAUUAGCAUUAGAGCCACAAAAUAUGGUAAUGUUAUGCAUGGGGAUCAAUACAGCAUCGUCCUACAUCAUAAUGUCACGAGACCGAGAGAUUAGUGACUCAACAAAAGGUGAACUUUCGAAUGCCGCAAGACGAAUUGGAAUUCCUGAGGAUAUUCAAUGGAUUGAGCAAAGAGCAGAUUACUGCACUGGUAAAUCUCAACGCUUAAGAAUAACUUAUGGAGUCUAUGCAAUUACCGUAUUUAUCACUCUUUGGAUAUUUGUUUAGUUUCAGACAGCACACAAAUUUAGAUCAACAAAAAAAAAGUUGGAGUAGCUUUUGUGCUUGCAAACUCUUUAAAAUAAUAUUAAAUACACUUAGUAAGUUCGUCAACUCAA